rnacentral:rRNA from 1 species
CCUCAGUAACGGCGAGCGAAGUGGGAACGAUUCAGUGCCCAGGUCUGAAAUCUCCGGCCUGACCCAUGCGUGGCCGGCGAAUUGUGGUCUGGAGAGCGGAGUUGUCCCGGAGUCGCGUUCCGUCGGGCCCGAAGUCGACCUGGAAUGGCGUGCCGGAGAGGGUGAUAGCCCCGUAGGGCCGAGAAACCGGGAGCGACGGGACGAGAGCUCCGACUCGUCGAGUCGGGUUGUUUGGGAAUGCAGCCCAAAUGGGGGUGGUAGACUCCAUCCAAGGCUGAACACGGGCGCGAGUCCGAUAGCGGACAAGUACCGUGAGGGAAAGGUGAAAAGCACUUUGAAGAGAGAGUUCAAGAGAGCGUGAAACCGUUGGGAGGGAAGCUCUGGGUGCCGAGGCGGUCCGGUCCUUCGGCGUUCAGUCGGCGGUCGCGUAGUCUCAGGUCGACGCGGCGCCGGUGCACUUGUCGUCGGAUCUCGGUGACCGUCAACGAGAGAAGAGUCCGGUCGUGUUUGGUGCCGGUGGAGGUGGUGCCGUAUCGGGUCUUGGGGUCCGUCUUCGGUCGUAAGCUCUUCGGUGUCCGGUCGUGGCGUUCUUCUCUGGAGUUGGUGGGCGACGUUGUCGUCUGUUGUUGUCGUAGGUGCGGGUCGCCCUCGGGCGUCGCGGUCUCCUCGGCGUCGUGUCGUUCGUCCGCGAGGCAGUGUCCGUCAGGCCGGCCGCUCCGGCGGUCCCGCCUGUGCGGUGCUCUUCCGUUCGGUUCGUCCGGCGCGUUGGAGUCUCGUCUGCCGCGCCUAGGUCGUUGGCGUAGAGUCGGUCCCCAGUGCCCCGUCUUGAAACACGGACCAAGGAGUGCAAGAGGCACGCCAGUCUCGAGGGCGAGUCGACCGUCUCGGCGGUCGUCUGUGGUGGAAAGCCCGUCGUGCGAGGCGUAGCGAGAGCAAGUGCCGUCCCAGAGUCGGCGGGUGCGAGAGCUCCGAGUCUCUCGGAGCGCAUCGCGGACCGAGUCGCGGUCACGCAGUGGCCGGUUUCGAGUGAGAGCGUGUCUGUUGCGACCCGAAAGAUGGUGAACUAUGCCCGAGGAGGGCGAAGCCAGAGGAAACUCUGGUGAGGCCCACAGCGGUUCUGACGUGCAAAUCGAUCGUCGACACUUGGGUAUAGGGGCGAAAGACUAUUCG